rnacentral:lncRNA from 1 species
AAUUCAUCGGAUCCCAACAAAUGCACCGCACAAAAGGAAUUACAUCAUAUAGAUCAGAGAAAAUAUGCGAUGAUCAUUGUAUUGAAGAUCAAAGAGAGAGGGUUGCCAUCUAGGUACUGUCAUGGACCCGUAGGUCUAUGGUGACCUACUCACACAUCAUUGUGAGGGCAGCAAGGUUGAUGAAUAGACCCCCCUGUGAUCGAUCCCCCUCCUGCAGGGCGCCGGAAUGGAGCUCCAGAUGGCCUCUCGUCGAAAUAGAGACUUACAGAGGCGUAAAAAGUGUUUCGGGACUCCCUCUGCUGUUUUUAGGGUAGAUGAGAAUAUAUCAUCUGAAGAAUGGAGUCGAGAGGGACACGGCGGGGGCACAAGCUAUCAGGGUGCUCCCCAGGCUGCACCAUGUUAGCUUUGUGGGCCCCUUGUGAGACCUCCAACCUUCUUCCGAUGCUUGUGGAUCUUCUUUUGGUCCAGAAAAAAUCAUCAAAAAGUUUCACGACAAUUGGACCUCGAUUCGUAUGGAAAACCUGCAAAGUGAAAAACACGCAGAAAACGGCAACUGGCACUAGGCACUAGGUCAAUAGGUUAGUGCUCAA